rnacentral:rRNA from 1 species
UACAGAGGGUGCGAGCGUUAAUCGGAGUUACUGGGCGUAAAGGGCGCGUAGGCGGUUAUAUGAGUGUGAUGUGAAAGCCCCGGGCUUAACCUGGGAAGUGCAUCGCAAACGAUAUAACUGGAGUAGAUGAGAGGGUGGCGGAAUUUCCGGUGUAGCGGUGAAAUGCGUAGAGAUCGGAAGGAACGUCGAUGGCGAAGGCAGCCACCUGGCAUCAUACUGAGCUGGAGGCGCGAAAGCGUGGGGAGCGAACAGG